UGGGGAAUAUUGGACAAUGGGCGCAAGCGUGAUCCAGCCAUGCAGCGUGAGUGAGGAAGGCUUUUGGGUUGUAAACCUCUUUUCUCAAGGAAGAAGCACUGACGGUACUUGAGGAAUCAGCAUCGGCUAACUCCGUGCCAGCAGCCGCGGUAAUACGGAGGAUGCAAGCGUUAUACGGAAUUAUUGGGCGUAAAGCGACCGCAGGUGGUGCCUCAAGUCAGCUGUCAAAGACCGAAGCUCAACUUCGGGCAGGCAGAGGAAACUGAAGCACUAGAGUACGGUAGGGGUAGAGGGAAUUUCCAGUGUAGCGGUGAAAUGCGUAGAGAUUGGAAAGAACACCAGUGGCGAAGGCGCUCUACUGGACCGUAACUGACACUCAGGGACGAAAGCUAGGGGAGCGAAAGGGAUUAGAUACCCCCGUAGUCC
rnacentral:rRNA from 1 species